rnacentral:misc_RNA from 1 species
AAGUCGUAAUAAGGUUUCUGUAGGUAAACCUACAGAAGAAUUAUUACUAAAAAGUGAGAAAUUACUUUAAUAAUCGUACUAGGUAGCUUUCUGGGCUGCUGAACCAAUCAACCUUUUGUGAACUAAAAAAUCUUUUGCUUCGGCAGCUAGGCCUUGGCCGCCCGUUAGCCUACCGCUAGCACCAACCUUCAAACCUAUUGUUAAACAUUAUCUAAUAACUAAAAUUUUCGAAUAAAAAUCAAAACUUUCAACAACGAAUCUCUUGGUUCCC